UACAGAGGGGGCAAGCGUUGUUCGGAUUUACUGGGCGUAAAGGGCGCGUAGGCGGCCUCUGCAAGUCGACUGUGAAAUCUCCGGGCUUAACCCCGGAAAGGUCAGCCGAUACUGCAGGGGCUAGAGUGCAGAAGGGGCAACUGGAAUUCUCGGGUGUAGCGGUGAAAUGCGUAGAUAUCGAGAGGAACACCUGCGGCGAAGGCGGGUUGCUGGGCUGACACUGACGCUGACAGCGCGAAAGCUAGGGGAGCGAACGGG
rnacentral:rRNA from 1 species